AUGGCGACCGGCGCACGGGUGAGUAACGCGUAUCCAACCUGCCCUUUACUAUGGGACAGCCCGUCGAAAGGCGGAUUAAUACCGUAUGUUGUCAUGUUGAUGCAUAUUUUCAUGACCAAAGGCUUCGGCCGGUAAAGGAUGGGGAUGCGUCUGAUUAGCUUGCCGGCGGGGUAACGGCCCACCGGGGCGACGAUCAGUAGGGGUUCUGAGAGGAAGGUCCCCCACAUUGGAACUGAGACGCGGUCCAAACUCCUACGGGAGGCAGCAG
rnacentral:rRNA from 1 species